CCAAGUGUAAACCCGUCACAGAGAUCAAAACCAAGAAACAAACGGGGCUCUCACGUGAAUCCAUUACCCUCGGAGAGAAUAAAGGAGAUGCUGCCGGGGCCGACGCCGACGCCGACGCUGACGCUGACGCUGACGCUGGUGGGAACCCUGUUUGGGCCGGGCAUCUUAGAUGCACUCCGUUGCCCUCUGCAAGCUCCUCUAUAUCCGGCUGUUGGAUGGGUGGGAUCGAUCGGUUCUAUGUUACCUUGCGUGCUGGGAUGAGGCUGAGGGUCGUCUUCAUGAAUCAUUUCGUAGGACGACGACCUCAAGGCGGCGGUUGACAAGAUGCUGCACAAGGCAAUGGCCGUCAACCAGUACAGAAACUUCUGUCCGUCUUUUUAUUUUGCCUGCCCCUUCUUGAUUUCUUUAUCCUGUUCGAUUUGAUCACCAGUUGGUGUUCUGAAUCUGAAAACCUAAUUUUAGGUGUUCAAGAAGCAUUCUUUCUGAUCCCUCGCGUUGAAGGUUUGCGAGAAAUGAGAGUUUGUGGAAGAAUUGAGGGGAGAGGAUGCCAAGUAUCCACAUGAGGUGGUACUGUUAGGGACCACUGAAAGAUUGAGAUGGUCGCGCUAUGUAAUUGAAGAUUGUGGAUGUAUUUUGAUGUUCGAAGGAUUCGAUAACAAAAUAGAUAUUGCACACCUAAAAAUUUGUAACAAUGAGCACAGACAGAGAAAAUUAAAAGGAAAUAACAAUGACAAUUAGGGAAGGAAGGAAGGAUAUAUACUAUAUGAAAGAAAAGAAUACUGAAAUAUCCUACAUAAUUUCCUUUCUCUUUUGUUAUUGUAUGCCUAAGUUUCAGACAAAAUUGUUUUUCACAUUGUCUGACUCGGCACAGUUCAAUAUGGUAAUGAUUUAGAACUUGUUCGUUUGAUUCAUAAUGCUCAUGGGACUUCCUAUUUUCUUGGUGGAUGCUUGUGUAGCAAACUUGAUAGAUGCUGAUAAUGGAUAAACAAAAUUGGAUGCCUGCGCUCAUCUUUUUGGUAAAUGCUGAUAAAUCUUGCCAAUCAACUUCUAUCUUUAUGUGUAAGCUUAUCCAUGUAUACUUGCUUCAGUUCUUAAGGAGUCAAAUUAAUCAACUGUCAUGCUCAAUCGAUACAGAUUCAGCAUAUUAGUCGAUCAAGGUCUUCUUAGUCUGUAGUUCUUGCAAUUUUCUGGUUCAUGUGGGAAACAUACUAAUAGAACAUAUUCUUAAGUUGUUUUGGCAUACUGGAUCUGCAAAAUUUUCAUUACUUGUUAAUCCAUGCACCUUCUCCAUCACAUGGAAUAGAAAAAUCAUCAUUAUAAAAGGGAAAAAAGAUCAAUCUGGAUCGUGAAUAGGGCUCAGUAAUUGUUAUUUCUGUAGGUUUAUUCCAUCAUGAACUCUCAAGAUUAAUUGACAUCUCUAGUACUUCUAAUAAAUCAUGUUGGUGCCAUCUCUUUUCCUUUGUGAUAGGACUGAAGUAUCUUAUAAGAGUACACUGAUGAUUAUUUUGAGCUUUGUAACACUAGCUAAUGUUAUAUACCAUCUAAAAAAUAUAUGCAGGUCCCAGACGCUUUUAGUGACAUGACAUGUGAUAAUCUAAGAUAAUGUAUACCAAGUUUAAACUAAGCAGAGACAAACACAAAGGGGUAUUUCCAUUUGGAAAGAAAAAAAAAAAGGAUGCACCCAAUUUCUGGAAACCUGUGACUAUUUUGGGCAGUUAUAUUAAAAUGAAUUGUAUCUUGCGAAUAUGCUUAUAAAUCCAAUUUGGGACAACCGUCUUUUACUGGAACUGAAAACUCUUUUUUCCCUUUCUUCUUUAUCACCAGCUGAAAAUCACCAUCAUCAUUAUCCUUUCCCUUAAAAACAGUUGAAUGGAUGAAGCUGUCAAGUAGGUGUGUACAGUUAUGAUGAUGUUGGUAGCUUUCAUAUUUUUAAUUGAAAUUACCUGUAUAUUGAGGUAUUGCAUGAAGGGAAGAAAUUACCCUGUUUCUGCUCCAUAAACUUGUCUUAAAAAUAUGAUUUGCAUUGUGAAAAAUUCAGCUUCCCUAUGUCUAUACAGUAAUUAACAAAGUUUAGCAUCAUUCAGAAAAUGCUUGUAUGCCCCUUCGUAGAACUUUGGUGCAUGAAAUUGUUCACUAAUAUGGACUGUCAUUGAUUAUAAAACUGAAUAACUCUAAAUUUUCCCUCAUUUGUCAUAGAAAAUGGUGGAUGGCACUGAUAUCAACUUUAGAGAAGUAUAUAUGUGAAUAUACCUAUACAGACCACCAGCUAACAAAUUAUGUGAGAUUGUUUGCUUUGUAUGGCCUUUUGCCAUUAUGUUGUAAUCCAAAGACAGGCAUGUCUCUCAGCGACAGUUGUGCUGCAGGCAGAGUGCAAUCUUCAUGAAAUACUAUUUAGAUCAAGUAAACUCAUCCACUGAUUCUUGUAAAUAUCUUGAUUGGUUGGUUUUUGUGAAUGAGUUGGUGGUUGUUAAUCUGUCUACUUCUGUGCACCAUCAACUGCAGAUUGGCUUGUAAACAUGCUACUUGCCCUUAGGAUACAGGGAAACAAUGUAAUGUUUUACUUAGCUAAAUUCAAAGAUUUCAUAGGUGAAGCAAUAUUUAAUGUGCUUGUAAAUUAAUGAUGUUUUGCUGUUCGACAAGAAGUUUUUCUCAUUAGACAAACUUCUAUCAUUGCUCAUUGAGCUUCUCUAUUCUUGUUGCUCUUUUUUUAUCAUGUUGCAGAUGAUGAAGUUUUGAGUAAUACAUCAGGUGCUUCAUUGGUAAUUUUUUGAGCCUUUUAUAGGAGUUUAUCUUUCCUACAAAUUCAUGAUCACUAGUACCCUAAAUUUUUAUGCCUACAAUCAUGAAGAGACGUUAUCUUUAACCAGGUGCAGUUCUGCAUCAUCUUCAGACAUUAUAAUUGGAUAGUAAACCUGCAAGGUGAAUGUCUGUUCUUAGAAAUUUGACUCUUUGAAUAUAGGACAUGUUUUCUCCCAACAUGACUCUGCUUUCAUGUUAGCAUUUGAAAGAACAUCUCUUCCAUUCUUCACCUCCACUAGACCUGCUACAUGGACACGACUGUACUAUUAUUAUCCUUGGUGAUAAUGUUCUCUGAGCUACCAAUUGUGCCUAAUGGUGGUUUUGUUCAAGUCAACCAACCAAACUAAGGCUUUGACACAACUAAUCUGCCAGAAUAUGCUUAUACUGCAACUUUCUUUCCGGUGCUUACUCUCUGAAUCUUCAGGGAAACGUGGAGCAGCAUAUCAGAGACCUGGCGCGAACUAGGCCGCUCGGAAGGAGCCAUCCUGGUGCAUUGCAAGGCCACAUUGAGCACUUCAAACAGAGAGGACUCCUCACGCGGUGCCACCGGCUUCAGAGCAGGAUCCAGCAACUCCUCCCGCUCUGUCACCGUCAUCGUCGUCGCAGUCCGAGACUGCACCCAGGUCACCAUAUUCAUGUCUCCUCCGAACCUCCGAUCUGUGGGCAUUAACCCGCUAACGAGCUCCAUGAGAACAAUGCCCAUGCUGUAGACGUCGCUCUUCUCCGUCGCCUUUGGGGACGUACCUGGAGCCAUGUAGCCAUAGGAUCCGGCGAAGCAGGAGCCAGUCUCCGUGUACCGUGCCGAACCGUCCGGGUAAUUCUCGGCGGCGACUGCCUUUGCCAGUCCAAAGUCGCCCAAAUGUGCCUCCAUGUCACCGUCGAGCAGCACAUUGCUCGACUUGAUAUCCCUGUGAACUAUCAUUGGCACGCAGUCGUGGUGCAGGUACUCCACUCCUUUGGCAAGGCCGAUCGCGAUCUUCAACCUGGCCUCCCAGCUCAGCUCUCGCUUCCUCUUCUGGCUCACUGCAGGCUCGUGCAGCCAAUUCCACAGGCUUCCAUUCUCCAUGUACUCGUAUACCAGCAGAUGCUCCCCCUGAUUUCUGCUAAGCAAGGAUUCCCUUUUGUCAUGCAGAAUCUUCUUCACGGCCACUGUCUCACCGGACGGCAUUUCAACUCUGUAGACGGUGCCCGACCCGCCAGAACCGAUGACGAACUCGUCGCUCAGGUUGCACGUCGCUUCCAUGAUAGCUUCCCAUUUGAGUUCUCGCCUCGUGGAUCCCUUCACGAUCAGUUCUCGAUGAAUCUUGGAAGAGGAACCCUUGAAGGAGUAUGCGCAAUUGACCUCGCUUGAUCUCUCUGCGCACCGCCUUCUGAUCCAUAACACAGCGGCUAUCAGCAGGAGAAUGAUCACCAGCGUCACGGUGGCAGAGAUCACGGCUACAGCAGCUGAGCUUAAGGUGGAACCUUCGCGGGCGGGCCUGAUAAUGUUGCACGGCUGGAGGGGACUCCCGCAGAGACCAAGGUUCGCAGCGAAAGACUGCGGUGGCCAGCGGGCGAAUCGGCCGUCCAAUUGCCCCUCCAAAUCGUUGCUCGAGAGAUCGAGCACCACCAAGCUACUCAUUUCACCUAUUUGUCGCGGGACAUCUCCGGUCAGAAAAUUGUGCGAGAGGUUCAGAUAUUCGAGCUUCGCAAGCGACGCAAGCGAUGACGGAAUCUCGCCGCUGAGGUUGUUGAAGCUGAGGUCUAACGCACUCUGUAGUUCCUGCAGUCGUCCAAGCUCGACCAGGACCGGCCCGGUGAACAGAUUCCUCGACAACCGGAGCUCAUAAAGCUUGCUUAGCUGCGCUAUGGAGGCAGGGAUUGCUCCAGAAAACUGAUUGUGGGCUAAGUCCAGGACAUUGACGGAUGCAAGUUUGCCAAUUUCAGGAGGGAGUGAGCCACUGAGUGAGUUAUCUGCGAGAGAGACCUUCAGUAGAUUAGAGCAAUUGAAGAGCUCAACAGGAAGAGGCCCAAAGAAUCUGUUAGAAGAGAGUUUGAGCUCCCCCAGCUGCGGUAUGCUCCCAAGCCACGUCGGGACGACUCCAGUUAGCCGAUUAUUGUUCAGAACAAUGUGGGUGAGAUUCUUGCAUGCCGCCAGUUCCUUCGGUAUUACUCCGGUCAGCAAGUUGCUCGACAAGUCCAGAAGCGAGAGAGCCCCGAUUU